UGCCAGCCGCCGCGGUAAUACGGAGGGUGCGAGCGUUAAUCGGAAUCACUGGGCGUAAAGCGUACGUAGGUGAGGUGUGAAAGCCCUCGGCUCAACCGAGGAAUUGCGCUUCAAACCACUAGACUUGAGGGAGGCAGAGGUGAGUGGAACUGAUGGUGGAGCGGUGAAAUGCGUUGAUAUUAUCAGGAACACCAGUGGCGAAGGCGACUCACUGGGCCUCUUCUGACGCUGAGGAACGAAAGCUAGGGGAGCGAACGGGAUUAGAUA
rnacentral:rRNA from 1 species